UGGGAAGGCUUAGACAGCUAGGAGGUUGGCUUAGAAGCAGCCACCCUUUAAAGAAAGCGUAAUAGCUCACUAGUCGAGUCGGCCUGCGCGGAAGAUUUAACGGGGCUAAAUUGGUAACCGAAGCUGCGGAUGCGUGCUUGCACGCAUGGUAGAGGAGCGUUCUGUAAGCCGUUGAAGGUGAACCGGGAGGUUUGCUGGAGGUAUCAGAAGUGCGAAUGCUGACAUGAGUAACGACAAGGGGGGUGAAAAACCCCCCCGCCGGAAGAUCAAGGUUUCCUACGCAACGCUAAUCGGCGUAGGGUGAGUCGGCCCCUAAGGCGAGGCAGAAAUGCGUAGUCGAUGGGAAGCGGGUCAAUAUUCCCGCACUUUUAAUUACUGCGAUGGAGGGACGGAGAAGGCUAGGCCAUCAGGGCGUUGGUUGUCCCUGUUUAAGGUAGUAGGCUGAAAUCUUAGGUAAAUCCGGGAUUUCCUCUUUAUUGAGAAGGCUGAGAACCGAUGACGAGUGUCUUCGGACACGAAGUGGUUGAUGCCAUGCUUCCAAGAAAAGCUUCUAAGCUUCAGGUAAUUAAGAACCGUACUGUAAACCGACACAGG
rnacentral:rRNA from 1 species